rnacentral:ncRNA from 2 species
ACUUUCGCUCCUGCAAAUGGUUGCCCGCACUCCGGGCAUUAAAAGGGAAUCCGGUGCAAAACCGGAGCUAUCCCCGUAGCUGUAACCUGAGUAUCAUUUCGGUUCUCUCUUUGCCACUGUCUCGCCUCAGGCGGACGGGAAGGCCACCGGAACAUCAGGGAGCCAGAAGACCUGCCCCUUGCAACUUCAUUCA